rnacentral:rRNA from 1 species
UGGGGAAUCUUGGACAAUGGGCGCAAGCCUGAUCCAGCCAUGCCGCGUGAGUGAAGAAGGCCUUCGGGUUGUAAAGCUCUUUUACCAGGGACGAUAAUGACGGUACCUGGAGAAUAAGCCCCGGCAAACUUCGUGCCAGCAGCCGCGGUAAUACGAAGGGGGCUAGCGUUGUUCGGAAUCACUGGGCGUAAAGCGCACGUAGGCGGAUAGUUAAGUCAGGGGUGAAAUCCUGGGGCUCAACCCCAGAACUGCCUUUGAUACUGGCUGUCUCGAGGUCGAGAGAGGUUGGUGGAAUUCCUAGUGUAGAGGUGAAAUUCGUAGAUAUUAGGAAGAACACCGGUGGCGAAGGCGGCCCACUGGAUCGGUACUGACGCUGAGGUGCGAAAGCGUGGGGAGCAAACAGGAUUAGAUACCCCUGUAGUCCCUGAGCGGGCUGGCAAGGCGCAU